UGGGGGAUAUUGCACAAUGGGGGAAACCCUGAUGCAGCGACGCCGCGUGAGGGAAGAAGGUUUUCGGAUUGUAAACCUCUGUCUUCGGUGACGAAAAUGACGGUAGCCGAGGAGGAAGCCACGGCUAACUACGUGCCAGCAGCCGCGGUAAUACGUAGGUGGCAAGCGUUGUCCGGAAUUACUGGGUGUAAAGGGAGCGUAGGCGGGAGAGCAAGUUGAAUGUGAAAACUAUGGGCUCAACUCAUAGUUGCGUUCAAAAUCUGCUUUUCUUGAGUGGAGUAGAGGUAAGCGGAAUUCCUAGUGUAGCGGUGAAAUGCGUAAAUAUUAGGAGGAACACCAGUGGCGAAGGCGGCUUACUGGGCUUUAACUGACGCUGAGGCUCGAAAGCGUGGGUAGCAAACAGGAUUAGAUACC
rnacentral:rRNA from 1 species